UACGUGGGGGGCGAACGUUGUUCGGUGUCACUGGGCUUAAAGGGUGCGUAGGUGGUUGCGUAAGUAAGGUGUGAAAGCCCUCGGCUUACCCGGGGAAUUGCGCCUUAUACUGCGUGACUUGAGGAUUUCAGGGGAAUGGGGAACUCCAGGUGUAGCGGUGAAAUGCGCAGAUAUCUGGGGGAAGGCCGGCGGCGAAGGCGCCAUUCUGGGAAAUUCCUGACACUGAGGCACGAAAGCGUGGGGAGCAAACAGG
rnacentral:rRNA from 1 species